UACGUAGGUGGCUAGCGUUGUCCGGAUUUACUGGGCGUAAAGAGCGCGCAGGCGGUCGUUCAAGUCGAGUGUGAAAGCCCCCGGCUCAACUGGGGAGGGUCACUCGAUACUGAUCGACUCGAAGGCAGGAGAGGGAAGCGGAAUUCCCGGUGUAGUGGUGAAAUGCGUAGAUAUCGGGAGGAACACCAGUGGCGAAGGCGGCUUUCUGGCCUGUUCUUGACGCUGAGGAGCGAAAGCGUGGGGAGCGAACAGG
rnacentral:rRNA from 1 species